rnacentral:rRNA from 1 species
GAGUUUGUCGGUUGGUCAGGCUUAAUUGUCUGCACUGGUGAGAUGGAUCUCUACCUUCUGAGGAACUUUCAUGCCAUUUAUUUGGUGUGGUUGGAAAUCAGGACUGUUACUUUGAAAAAAUUAGAGUGUUUAAAGCAGACUAUCGUCUGAAUACAUUAGCAUGGAAUAAUGAAAUAGGACGGACUGAUUCUAUUUCGUUGGUUUCUAGGAUCACCGUA